UACGGAGGGUGCAAGCGUUAAUCGGAAUUACUGGGCGUAAAGCGUGCGCAGGCGGUUUGUUAAGUCUGUUGUGAAAUCCCGAGCUCAACUUGGGAAUUGCAAUGGAUACUGGCAGGCUGGAGUAUGGUAGAGGAAGGUGGAAUUCCCGGUGUAGCAGUGAAAUGCGUAGAGAUCGGGAGGAACACCAGUGGCGAAGGCGGCCUUCUGGACCAAUACUGACGAUCAGGUGCGAAAGCGUGGGGAGCAAACAGG
rnacentral:rRNA from 1 species